GUGGGGAAUAUUGGACAAUGGGCGCAAGCCUGAUCCAGCAAUGCCACGUGUGUGAAGAAGGCCUUCGGGUUGUAAAGCACUUUUGGCAGGAAAGAAAUAGCGCGUGCUAAUACCAUGCGCGAAUGACGGUACCUGCAGAAUAAGCACCGGCUAACUACGUGCCAGCAGCCGCGGUAAGACGUAGGGUGCAAGCGUUAAUCGGAAUUACUGGGCGUAAAGCGUGCGCAGGCGGUUUUGUAAGACAGGUGUGAAAUCCCCGGGCUCAACCUGGGAACUGCACUUGGGACUGCAAGGCUAGAGUGUGUCAGAGGGAGGUGGAAUUCCGCGUGUAGCAGUGAAAUGCGUAGAGAUGCGGAGGAACACCGAUGGCGAAGGCAGCCUCCUGGGAUAACACUGACGCUCAGGCACGAAAGCGUGGGGAGCAAACAGGAUUAGAAACCCGGGUAGUCC
rnacentral:rRNA from 1 species